rnacentral:rRNA from 1 species
UACGUAGGGGGCUAGCGUUGUCCGGAAUCAUUGGGCGUAAAGAGCGUGUAGGCGGCCCGGUAAGUCCGCUGUAAAAGUCAAAGGCUCAACCUUUGAAUGUCAGUGGAUACUGCCGGGCUAGAGUCCGGAAGAGGCGAGUGGAACUCCUGGUGUAGCGGUGGAAUGCGCAGAUAUCAGGAAGAACACCAACGGCGAAGGCGGCACUCUGGGCCGGAACUGACGCUGAAGAGCGAAAGCGUGGGGAGCGAACAGG